GGGAACUCAAGCACUAAGCCUCUGGCCCCGCCAGGGCGUACGAAUCCUUUGCUCGUUUAUCCAGUAUUAAGUCAUGCUGUGUGCUAAGUGCCGUGGCCAGGCAGCAGCUGCACAACGAGCUGAAGUAAAAUAGAGAACUAAGGAAGAAUGGGGGACCCCAAAGCCAACUUGGUGACAUCACACGCCGGAGUGGGACCCACGGUCCCCGGCCACAGCUCAGAGGGGCGGGACCGCCCGGUCCGGGGCGGGGCCAGGGCGGGGCCUGUCACUAGGGAAACCGCCCUCCUAGUAUCCGCGCGCGGCGGUUGAGCUGCGCCCGGCGAGGCAACAGCCUGCGAACGCCAGUUAGGGGAGGGGCGUCUCGGAGACCCAGAGACACCAAGGCCCCUGCGACGAGGUGGCUGCCGCUAGGGGGCGUCAGGACGACGGACCGGGUUCGAGUUGGGCCCGCCCUUUCCGCCCCCGCCCCAGGCCCUUGCACAUCGGCAUUCGCGUCGGAGAGCGGGAAAGAAGCAGUGGCCAAGGCGCCGAUUUUAUUUGGAGAGAAGCAAGCAUCUUUGCCUCUUUGGAGUAGGAAAUUCAGACUUGAAAAAGUGGUGUGUGGUUGACUCUGUUUCUCGCCAUGUCUUCUCACAAGACUUUCACCAUUAAGCGAUUCCUGGCCAAGAAACAAAAGCAAAAUCGUCCCAUCCCCCAGUGGAUUCAGAUGAAACCUGGUAAUAAAAUCAAGUACAACUCCA
rnacentral:lncRNA from 1 species